AUUGAACGCUGGCGGCAUGCCUUACACAUGCAAGUCGAACGGCAGCACGGGAGCAAUCCUGGUGGCGAGUGGCGAACGGGUGAGUAAUAUAUCGGAACGUGCCCAGUCGUGGGGGAUAACGUAGCGAAAGCUACGCUAAUACCGCAUACGAUCUAUGGAUGAAAGCGGGGGAUCGCAAGACCUCGCGCGAUUGGAGCGGCCGAUAUCAGAUUAGGUAGUUGGUGAGGUAAAGGCUCGCCAAGCCGACGAUCUGUAGCUGGUCUGAGAGGACGACCAGCCACACUGGGACUGAGACACGGCCCAGACUCCUACGGAGGCAGCAGUGGGGGAAUUUUUGGACAAUGGCGGCAAGCCUGAUCAGC
rnacentral:rRNA from 1 species